AAAGAGAGAGAGAGAGAAAUAAAGCUAAGAUAUAUUCCAUUUCGUCAAUCAUGUCAUUCACACAUUUUUUUUUCUCUCUCUCUCUCUCUCUUUUUCUUUUCCCCUUUAAAGUGUUUCCUCUCUCUAUCUCCCUGUGUGCC
rnacentral:ribozyme from 1 species